UACGGGGGGGGCAAGCGUUGUUCGGAAUUACUGGGCGUAAAGGGCUCGUAGGCGGUUUGUCGCGUCGGGAGUGAAAACCCAGGGCUUAACCCUGGGCUGGCUUCCGAUACGGGCAGACUAGAGGUAUGCAGGGGAGAACGGAAUUCCUGGUGUAGCGGUGAAAUGCGCAGAUAUCAGGAGGAACACCGGUGGCGAAGGCGGUUCUCUGGGCAUUACCUGACGCUGAGGUGACGAAAAGCGGUGGGGAGCAAACAGG
rnacentral:rRNA from 1 species